AUGUUAAUGAUCUUUGUUCUGGGAUGGUAUUCAGUGAAGCAUGUUAUACAAUGGAUUAUCAUUUUAAUACAGACUUCCGUUAUCUGUUUAAAUCUUGUUCUAAUUGUUUUUAGUUCUUAUAGUGAAGAUGAGCAUAAUUGUGUGCCAACUUCAUACAUACUUCCACAGACCUCAUCACAGUACUUAGGAUACGAGUUUUGCAAAAAUAGGGGAGACAUAACUGUGGUGGAUCUGCAGAAGAGAGGACUAGAUUCUUGGAACCCAAGUCCACUGAAGAUGCCAGCCAUUCAUGAUGGAGGUGGAGAGAUAGGAGCUUUGAGAUCCAAGAAGAAUAACCACAUUUCCAGCAUAUGUUCACUUCCAGCGGGACCCAGAUACAAGUUUGAGGCUACUUGGCACUCAGAGGGCUUUAUGAAGUGUUUUGUAGCUGUAGACUUCACAGAAUCUUCCCACUAUCCACAUUUUGCACAUGGGGAAACUGCGACAGAGGCUGUGACUGUCAGAGCUGGGAUUAGAACUGAAGUUACUGGUUGCUAAUCUUGUGCUCCAGGAGUAGAAUACUGGUCUCUAAACAGUAUGAUGAGAUCAGAGAAAAGAUUACGCGAAUGAACCCACUGACCUCCAGUGUCACUACAUUUGAGGAGGAAAAUAACUACCAACAAGUACAUGAAACAUCUGUGUUGUAACUUUUUCAUUAGAAGACUAUCUCUGAAAAGUGCUACUUCUAAACUCACUUGACCAUAUUAGCCACUUAAACUUUGUUAUGCUGAAAUAUCGAUCUAGCAAGUACUGUUUUUAGGUUAGUUUGGUUCCAAACCACAAUUGUAUUUAUACUGCUUGGAAGGGUUAGUAGGUAGCAAAUUAAUCUGUCAACAGUAUCCUGUGUAAUAGUUUAAUAUUUGUAAUGAUACUGAAAUAAAAAUGUCUCCAGAUACA
rnacentral:lncRNA from 1 species